rnacentral:rRNA from 1 species
GGUUAAGCGACUAAGCGUACACGGUGGAUGCCCUGGCAGUCAGAGGCGAUGAAGGACGUGCUAAUCUGCGAUAAGCGUCGGUGAGGUGAUAUGAACCGUUAUAACCGGCGAUUUCCGAAUGGGGAAACCCAGUGUGUUUCGACACACUAUCAUUAACUGAAUCCAUAGGUUAAUGAGGCGAACCGGGGGAACUGAAACAUCUAAGUACCCCGAGGAAAAGAAAUCAACCGAGAUUCCCCCAGUAGCGGCGAGCGAACGGGGAGGAGCCCAGAGCCUGAAUCAGUGUGUGUG